AGAGUUUGAUCCUGGCUCAGGACGAACGCUGGCGGCGCGCCUAACACAUGCAAGUCGAACGAGCAAAGAGGAGCUUGCUUCUCUGAGCGAGUGGCGAACGGGUGAGUAACGCGUGAGGAACCUGCCUCAAAGAGGGGGACAACAGUUGGAAACGACUGCUAAUACCGCAUAAGCCCACGGGUCGGCAUCGACCAGAGGGAAAAGGAGCAGUCCGCUUUGAGAUGGCCUCGCGUCCGAUUAGCUAGUUGGUGAGGUAACGGCCCACCAAGGCGACGAUCGGUAGCCGGACUGAGAGGUUGAACGGCCACAUUGGGACUGAGACACGGCCCAGACUCCUACGGGAGGCAGCAGUGGGGAAUAUUGCACAAUGGGGGAAACCCUGAUGCAGCGACGCCGCGUGGAGGAAGAAGGUCUUCGGAUUGUAAACUCCUGUUGUUGAGGAAGAUAAUGACGGUACUCAACAAGGAAGUGACGGCUAACUACGUGCCAGCAGCCGCGGUAAAACGUAGGUCACAAGCGUUGUCCGGAAUUACUGGGUGUAAAGGGAGCGCAGGCGGGAAGACAAGUUGGAAGUGAAAUCCAUGGGCUCAACCCAUGAACUGCUUUCAAAACUGUUUUUCUUGAGUAGUGCAGAGGUAGGCGGAAUUCCCGGUGUAGCGGUGGAAUGCGUAGAUAUCGGGAGGAACACCAGUGGCGAAGGCGGCCUACUGGGCACCAACUGACGCUGAGGCUCGAAAGUGUGGGUAGCAAACAGGAUUAGAUACCCUGGUAGUCCACACCGUAAACGAUGAUUACUAGGUGUUGGAGGAUUGACCCCUUCAGUGCCGCAGUUAACACAAUAAGUAAUCCACCUGGGGAGUACGACCGCAAGGUUGAAACUCAAAGGAAUUGACGGGGGCCCGCACAAGCAGUGGAGUAUGUGGUUUAAUUCGACGCAACGCGAAGAACCUUACCAAGUCUUGACAUCCUGCGACGGACAUAGAAAUAUGUCUUUCCUUCGGGACGCAGAGACAGGUGGUGCAUGGUUGUCGUCAGCUCGUGUCGUGAGAUGUUGGGUUAAGUCCCGCAACGAGCGCAACCCUUAUGGUCAGUUACUACGCAAGAGGACUCUGGCCAGACUGCCGUUGACAAAACGGAGGAAGGUGGGGAUGACGUCAAAUCAUCAUGCCCUUUAUGACUUGGGCUACACACGUACUACAAUGGCGUUAAACAAAGAGAAGCAAGACCGCGAGGUGGAGCAAAACUCAGAAACAACGUCCCAGUUCGGACUGCAGGCUGCAACUCGCCUGCACGAAGUCGGAAUUGCUAGUAAUCGUGGAUCAGCAUGCCACGGAGAAUACGUUCCCGGGCCUUGUACACACCGCCCGUCACACCAUGAGAGCCGGGGGGACCCGAAGUCGGUAGUCUAACCGU
rnacentral:rRNA from 1 species